rnacentral:rRNA from 1 species
CCUACGGGAGGCAGCAGUGAGGAAUAUUGGGCAAUGGGCGCAAGCCUGACCCAGCAAUGCCGCGUGAAGGAAGAAGGCUUUCGGGUUGUAAACUUCUUUGACAGGGGAAGAGCAGAAGACGGUACCCUGAAAACAAGCCACGGCUAACUACGUGCCAGCAGCCGCGGUAAUACGUAGGUGGCAAGCGUUAUCCGGAUUUAUUGGGUGUAAAGGGCGUGUAGGCGGGAGCGCAAGUCAGAUGUGAAAACUCAGGGCUCAACCCUGAGCCUGCAUUUGAAACUGUGUUUCUUGAGUGCUGGAGAGGCAAUCGGAAUUCCGUGUGUAGCGGUGAAAUGCGUAGAUAUACGGAGGAACACCAGUGGCGAAGGCGGAUUGCUGGACAGUAACUGACGCUGAGGCGCGAAAGCGUGGGGAGCAAACAGGAUUAGAUACCCUUGUAGUC